CAGAAUUGCAUUUUGAAUAUACCCUUGAGCUGCACAGCACAGAGGAAGAAGUUUGUCAGAAAAGCAAGCAGAGGAGAAGAGGACGCUAGUAGUGACCUCAGCACAGAAAGAAGAAGCUUGAACACGUUGGCACAUCGUUUUACUGUUUGAAAGUUUGAAAGCUUGAAAGUUAUCAAAGUUUGUUGAAUUUGGAAAAUCUGAAGCUGUAUAGUUGAUUCAAGUUCUGGAUGAAAAAUGUCACCUGGUUUAUAGAUGGAAAUUCACCGGUAAAUACUGUUUAUUUUUCUGAUCCCCGCCAUGCUACCAUACUUCUUUUGACUUGGACUUUCAGAGGCAGACACGUCAUCUUCAAAAACAAAUCCUUAUUGGAAAAUACAUGUACAUUUUAUACGUUACUGCAACAAAGUUGGUUAAUAAUAAAAUAAAAAUGUUUAUCCCUAACAGUUUCUGUAGGUCAUGUAUAAAUUUAUUUAAUGGGGGUGUGGCAUGGGAGGA